GGGUCAGUAGGUUGGUCGUGCCACCGGUACGUACUGGUCUCACUGAUUCCUCCUUCCUGAAGAACCGUAAUGCCAUUAAUUUGGUGUUGCGGGGAAACAGGACUGUUACUUUGAAAAAAUUAGAGUGUUUAAAGCAAGCUAACGCUUGAAUACAUUAGGAUGGAAUAAUGAAAUAGGACGAUCGAUCCUAUUUUGUUGGUUUCUGGGAUUGACGUA
rnacentral:rRNA from 1 species